GGGCCCGUAGUCUAGCCUGGCUAGGACGCCGGGUUUGGGUCCCGGAGGUCCGGGGUUCGAAUCCCCGCGGGCCCA
rnacentral:tRNA from 1 species